rnacentral:rRNA from 1 species
UGAGGAAUAUUGGUCAAUGGGCGAGAGCCUGAACCAGCCAAGUCGCGCGAGGGAAGACGGUCCUACGGAUUGUAAACCUCUUUUGUCGGGGAGCAAUAAAGCGUACGCGUACGCAGAUGCGAGUACCCGAAGAAAAGCAUCGGCUAACUCCGUGCCAGCAGCCGCGGUAAUACGGAGGAUGCGAGCGUUAUCCGGAUUUAUUGGGUUUAAAGGGUGCGCAGGCGGAAAGUGCAAGUCAGCGGUCAAACGACGGGGCUCAACCCCGUCUCGCCGUUGAAACUGUCUUUCUAGAGUGAGCGAGAAGUAUGCGGAAUGCGUGGUGUAGCGGUGAAAUGCAUAGAUAUCACGCAGAACUCCGAUUGCGAAGGCAGCAUACCGGCGCUCAACUGACGCUCAUGCACGAAAGCGUGGGUAUCGAACAGGAUUAGAUACC